CAAGGAGUCUGGGAUACUGAUGGGACCAGGGGACUAUUUACUGGGGCUGGAAUACGGGAGGCAUAGGUGGGGAUAAGAUGGAGGUUGGAGCAAGGACUUAGUAUGUAUCCUUUGGCUUUUUUCUAGCUGCUGUGGCUGGGACAGGCCCUCCGAGGGCCCUAUGGAGUGAGCAUGUGGCCCCAGAUGGGCGCAUCUACUACUACAAUGCUGACGACAAGCAGUCCGUGUGGGAGAAGCCCAGCGUGCUCAAGUCCAAGGCAGAGCUGCUCCUGUCUCAGUGUCCCUGGAAAGAGUACAAGUCGGACACAGGCAAACCUUAUUACUAUAACAACCAGAGUAAAGAGUCUCGCUGGACCCGGCCCAAGGAUCUGGAUGACCUAGAGGUUCUAGUCAAACAAGAGGCUGCAGGGAAACAGCAGCAGCAGCUGCCACAGACACUUCAGCCACAGCCGCCU
rnacentral:sRNA from 1 species